CCCAUGAAACAGGCAUUUUGAAAUGUCUUUGAGCAAGCCCCAGUGGGCCUCCUCUUGCAGAACUGACUACCUGGCUGGAGGGAAACUCACAGCCAAGGUCAUUCCCAACUGAGAAACAUGUUUGUGACAUUUCCCUGCGUAAACGUGGACCGGUUCAGCAACUGAAAGCUUAUAAACUGAUGCCAUGGUGCGGAUUUCACUGAGGCUUUCCAGGACCCCAUGUGCUUGUACACAGCCCACGAGUCUCUGCUCAAGAAGUAGAAUGGGCCUGGAAACCUUUUUCUACCCUUGGAGGUUUCUUCUCUUCAGAGACAACCCUGUAAGGAGAUCUCUACCUUCAAGGCACAAGCAUACUGUCUUCAUGAGUUUCAGUUCCUGGAAUCACAAAAGCCAAGAGAUCUUGCCACAAUACUUGCCUGGGCCUACUCCUUGCUUGUAUUGGGGGAGAGGGGAAAUUACCAUGACAAUAAAACCAAAUAAGAUCAUGUCUCAGAGGGGCUCCUGGCUGGCUCAGUCAGUAGAGCGUGCAACUGAUGACCUCAGAGUGGUGAGUUCGAGCCCCAUGCUGGGCGUGGAGCCUACUAAAAGUGUCUCAGAACUAUGAUUUCACUACAGGAAUAGAAAAGUGAAGAGAGAUUUGUUACAAGGUAAGACAGA